rnacentral:lncRNA from 1 species
GGCAAGAUGUGCAUGGGCUUUCAAAGCCCGUAAAUGGUGCGUUCCGCUCUGCCCUGCGCCGGAUGCGGCGGAUAUGCCCAUCCCGGGUUCCUGUCGCCGCCGCCCAGCUCCACAGUGCGACUUCGGCUAAUUACAUUGCUAUGCAAGAAAUUGUUGAGCAAACGAUAUUCCGAUCCACCCCCGCGUGGCGUGCCGGUGCUCGGUGGUGAUGGGGUCACCGAUGGAUGACGCAUCCCGCGCCCACGGCCCGCCUGUCAACAAUGGAGGUAUGUGCUUGCUUAUUCACUGGCUGUCAAGAACUGAUCUCUGUCGGGUAGAUCUAUCACAUAUUGUGGUUUGCUAGCUGUUGCCCUGUGGAUCAAUUUGAUUAUUAAGUUGUCAGGCCGAUAGAAAACAUGUUCUCAUUUCAAUGGAAUCGUCACAACUCACGAGUACACUAAUGUUGCUGGGAAAUAGUCUGCCUUUUACUGUUAGGGUUCGGCCUUUGGAUAUGUGGGUGUUCUUUUAUAAUUUUUAUAUACUUGUUUAAAAAAAAGAGAUACAAUCUAGAAACUAGGCGGAUUUUCGUUAAGAAGAGAAAGUAGACACUCAAAUUCAAGCCUAGAGGGGACUUACCUGGUUGUGGUUGGGUGUAUGACCACACCUCGCACCCAACCUUGAGAGCUCACUUCCUAUACUAGUGAACAUGUUUUGGGUCUUGGAUUGCAGGAAGGUCUACGAUUUGGACAAACAGGUGAACAUAACUUGAUAUGGGCACAGAUUGGUAGUACAUUAAUAUUUGGAUGAUGUAAUGACUAUGUGUGAUGGAAAAUUGCAAAGCAGCAAAUCAAAUAACAAUGUAUAUGUUAGGAUCACGUGGAACUAUGAUUAAACCCACACAUUGAUUUGCUGCUUUUAUGAAUAUGUAUAUUCAUCUAUUGAAAAUGUGCAAUAGUAAUUCAAAGGUGCUAAAAGAAUAUACUUUUCAUUGUUUUGGUUUUGAGUGACAUUAUAAAACAUAGAUGAUAUGAGUCCUCCCAAUAGCGAAUAUCUUGGCUAAGAUGAUAAAUGUGUUUGGGGCAGGGGGAAGGAAAGGAAUGGCUUGGGUGGCAUUUCCAAUUCUUUGAUAUUCUUAUGCAACAUUUCUAUGACUGUAUUCAUGGAAGGACGACUUCCUGGGGUCAUUUGUAUGCACCACAAGCCAACUAGAGCAAUCUGCUUUGCAGUCUCUUCUAGCUCGGAUGUGACUUCAUGGCUUUGCAAAUCCUUUAACAUGCAGUCAUAAAUCCAGUCAGUAAAAUACGUUUCACUAGAAUUUUCAGUAUUUCCCCGGCCGCUUACCAUUUGUAGUACCAUCAUUCCAUAGCUGUAAACGUCUGACUUAGUUGACACAACUCCAAACCCUCUAUAAAACACUUCUGGAGCAAUGAAACCAAUGGUGCCUCUUGCAUCAGCCAUCGAGAGAGCACUGUCCUUGACAUGACACAGUUUUGCCAAUCCAAAAUCAGCAAUUUUGGGACAAAAGUCUUCAUCAAGAAGGAUGUUGUGGGGCUUAAUAUCAAAAUGAAUGAUGCGGGUGCUGCAGCCCUGGUGCAAAUACUCCAGGCCUUGUGCGAUGCCAAUAGCUAUUUUCCUCAAAUUUUCCCAUCCAAGAGCCGACUUUAAACUCUCUGAAUAAAUAUACUUCUCUAAAGAGCCAUUGGCAAUGUACUCAUAAACAAGGGCUCUCUUAGAUCCCUGUAAACAAAAGCCAAAUAAACUGACAAUAUUGACAUGGGAAGUCCUACCAAUGCUAGUAACCUCAUUUAGGAAUUCCUCUCCAUUGCCUUUGUAUCCUUUUAAGAUUUUCACAGCAACCAUAUGGCCAUCUGGUAGAGUACCCUUGAAUACUGUACCAUAACCACCCUCUCCUAUUUUUUCCUUAAAACCUCUUGUUAUUUUCUUCAGAUCCGAGUGACUGUACCUCUUUGGGGUCAGUGAUUGAUAUCUCCUUAUUAUCUCUUCCAUAUUUGAUUGACUCCGAGCAUGCUUUUGGAGAAUGAAGAGACUGAGCUUUUGUUUCCGACGGUAUAUGAGCCAAAGAAGACAUGUGAAAAACAACCCAGCUGUAGCAGACAUGGAACCUAGAAAAUUAAAACCAAAGAAUGAAAUCCAGCCAUGGAAAUAUACACUACUAUAGAAGAUUUCUAUCUAUGCCUAUGCAAGUUCUUGAGGAUGCUAGAAUUCCAUAUUAUUAAUUUAAUCUUCUCCCUAGAGUUCUUCUGUAAUAUCAGAUAUAGAUAUCUGCAAAACUGAUAAGAAUAGCAGUAGAUCCUAUUCUCUUAUCACAUAAGAGCACGAGGCUAACCUGUCAGCUAAAACUUGGUACUCCCUCCAUCCCAAAUUAUAAGACGUUUGACUUUUUUGAGCCCAAGUCUGAUCACUCGUCUUAUUCAAAAAAAUUGUGCAAACAUAGUCAAAAUUAAGUUAUUCUUGAAGAAUUUUUAUUAAUAAACCAAGCCACGACAAAAGAAAUGAUAUUUUGCAUAUAUAUAUUUUUUAAAUAAGACGAGUGGUCAAACUUGGUGACAUAAAAGUCAAACGUCUUAUAAUUUGGGAUGGAUUGAGUAGUACAACAUGUAUAGCUAGCAAAAUAAAUACAUACUACCUUCAUAGAAUAAAUUAAUUUGUAGAAAUGUCUUAAAUCAAACUUUUCUAAGUUUGACUGGAUUCAUACAAAAGAGCACAAAGACUUAUGACACCAAAUUAGUAUCGUUACAUACACCAUAAAAUGUAUUUUUAUUAUGUGCUUAUUUGGAUUCAUAAGUACUUGUGUUUUUUCUAUAAAUUGGGUCAAACAUAAAAGAAAUUUACUUCUGGGAUUGAUUUUUUCAGGGAUGGAGGGAGUACCUAUUAGAAUUAAUCUGAUGUUGUGCCUCCUGUCUGCAAUAUAUAUUGAUUCUAGUUAGCAACAUCUCAAUCACAAUGAAAAAUAUCCAAUAAUGACAGAGAUAGCAUUAUUGGUGAAGACGGAAGGGAAGUGCAAUAUGACUAGUGAUUUUUCCGUGACUGCAUGCACUGUCUAUUUUUUCUUAACAUUGACCUUUUUUUAUGAUAUGUUUCUAAAAUUAGUGUUUCAAGUUUCAACUGUUUUAAAUGGAGUAAACUGCCUGUUGCAAAAAUCUUCUCAUGUGCAUUCACUACAAAAGUGCCAUAACCAGUUACUGAGUCAUGUUUUUACCUCCCUAGGAAUGUAAAUGUAAAUGAUGUCAUGAUGAGAUGUGUCAGAUGUCCUAUUGGCAUGCUAACUUACUGUGACUUUGGUUUUCAGUUGGACUAGAAGAAUCUGAUCUUUUGCUCACCAAAUGCAUGAUUCAAUUUAUUUGAUUGUAAUAAUCUCACAAGUGAAUUUACCAGAUGGUGGCUGCCAUGUCAAGAGGAAGCCAUCGCUGAUGAGUUGCUCAUAGCUGCUCGCGUUCGUCUCGCCAAAUGCCCCCCGCACUGGCACAAGGGUAGUGCUGCAUCCCUCUACCGAGUACUGCGUGUAGUUGCUCGAGUCAUUG